GUUCUAUUGACUGAGAGUAGGGGGAUGUGGACAUUUUUGUGAAGGUGCAAUGUGAGUUGGACUGGAAGAAUGUCUAUUACAGAUCCUAAUUGAAGUAGCGAUUAUCCAGGCUUGUAUCCUGGGGGCUGAUGAGGAGUAGGGUUUCUGGACAACUUAAACAGAUCCAGAGUUAGUCGAUCCUAAUCUCAAUAAUGGGAGAAAGGGAGUACAGUUGAUAUUCUGUAACUGACAACAGUUCGCGGCAACGCAUACUAUUUUUCUCCGCCAAUCUUAUACCGUUGGUAGGGAUCUCUUUCCUACAUGACAGUACUAAUACCCAGGGAAACUGGUCAUCAGGCGAACUGCGGCGUUCUGCUGGCAAAACAUAGCUUCGGUUAUGUCAAUGGCUAUUGGAUUGGUCCAUGAAGCGAAAAAUAGUUUACUGUGUCACUCGUACCGAUAACCGCAUCAGGUCUUCUAGGUAAGUAGCCUAUGGCCAUUGAGGCAUGAUAGUUCAGGGAAUUCGGCCAAUUAGAGCUGUAACUUCGGGAUAAAGCUUGGCUCUGAUGAAAAUCAGAACCGAUUGUUACGCGGAGAGCCCAACUGUUUAAUAAAAACGUAGUGUCGCGCUGUGGUAGUAUAGCCAGUGAACGCGACAUGAAUCCUGCUCAGUGCUGUGUCUGUUAAUAUGGUUCAAGCCAACGAAGCACCGGUAAAUAGCUGGGGUAACUAUGACUCUUAUCAAAGUAGCGAAAUACCUCGUCACUUAAUUAGUGACCUGCAUGAACGGAGCUAUGAGGUUCUCACUGUCCCAAACUGUCUCUCAGCGAACCAACUGUAGUGGGAACGGUCACUAGAUAUCCAGCGGGGAAAGAAGACCCUGUAGAGCUUCACUUUGGUCUAGUCUUGUAUAGUUCCUGCGGGGGUGUAGACUAGGUGGGAGAGCAAUCGAUUCUGAAAAACCACUACCCUGUUUGGAAUUAUGCUUACCUAUCACAAGG
rnacentral:ncRNA from 2 species